AGAGCCAGGGAGCGUCGCCAGCCUUGAAACAGGCCGGUGGCAGCCUCCGGAACUCCACCCUUGAAUAAAUUACCUUUGUUGCUUUUCCAGGCCGCCUCGUGCCAGCGGCUUUGGCGGUUGAGUGCCCGCCAAAGGGCCACAACUCUUGUUUUCAGUGAUGUCUGAGCACAGUAGCUAACCCUUUCAACAACGGAUAUCUUGGUUCU
rnacentral:misc_RNA from 1 species